rnacentral:misc_RNA from 1 species
GGAAGGAUCAUUAUUCUGCAUAUAAAAAAAAAGAGGAGGAGAGAGAGGAGGUAUAAAAAAAAACCCACUUUAGGCGGCGGACUUUCUUCUUGGCUUUCUGUGCUUUAAGCGGCAUAGGGAGUUAGGGAGGGGGAAAGUUGCCUAAUCAAUCUUUUUACACAAAGCACAAAAAAUUUAAAUAAAGUGCAAAAAAAAGUGGGAAUUUCAGCGGGAGGCCUACCGCGUGACCAAGAGGGCCAAAAAAGGGUUUGGGGGGUAUGAGGAGGGAAGAAGAGAGUUCAGAGGAAACGGUUGUUGGCUUCACGGCUGGCUGCUGGUUCUCAUGGAUUUGAUUUCUUCCUCGUGGCCCCCUUACUUUUUCACGUUUAUCGGAUCGGAUUCGUAUCAUAAAAGAUCCUUGUCCAAUUAACACUGGGCAAGUAAAAAAAAAUUUACAACUUAUAGCGGUGGAUUUCUCGGCUUGCGUAUCGAUGAAGAACGUAGCAAACUACGAUAAUUAAUGUGAAUUGCAAAAUACGUGAAUCAUCGAAUCUUUGAAUGCAUACUGCACCGGGGGUCUAACAACCCCUGGUCUAUCCGGUCGAGUGCCGAUUCUUCAUCACUCUUUGCCUACGAUGUAAAAAGUUGUGGGUGAGGUUGUGGAUAUUUGAGGGUAGAGCUUUCUUUAAGUCAGCAUCUUCCCUUUAAAUACACAAAACGGGUCUCACGAAGGAGAUGGCGCUUACUCACCUUUGGGAGGGGUGCUGUCUUAGUAGUGGGAUCAAGUCCCCGGCAUGACUAGCCUGUGUAUCAGCUAAGUCUGUUAGAAAAAUGUUGGGUACGCUGUUCAGGGAAAACCGGGGAGGUUUUUUCUUCUGUUGGGCUUUUUUCCAGUCUUGUCUGCAUUUAUGUGGGUUUGAUUGGUAUGCGGUCCGGCAGCAUGAGGCUAUGGGUCUGUUCAAAGGCUUUGUAAGUAGGCGAGCCUACCACGAGUUUUUUGGCAGUCUACCUAGUCUCACUCGAUUAUGGGGGAGCUUUUUUUGGUGUUGGAGCUUUAACCGGCUUCGUCACUUUUUAAGGUUGUCACGUUUGAGAGCGAGACUGGGAGCAAUAGAUUACCAUAACGAGGACGGGGAGGUUCGGCUGUUUGUAGGGCUUGAGGAUGGAUAUGUGGCUUUGUGGCUCUUCCUUUGGUUGUUGUGAUUUUCCUUUCGGGGAGAAUUGCGAUGACUUGAGGAAGGGGAGUUAGCACGCUUCCUUAUUGGGAUCCUUGUGACGGUAAAAAAAAUAUGUGGGGGAAGGGAUUGACCUUCUUUCUUAACGGCCUCGGCUCGGGUAGGACUACCCGCUGAACUUAAGCAUAUUAGUAAGCGGAGGAAAAGAAAUUAACAAAGAUUCCCUCAGUAACUGCGAGUGAACUGGGAGGGGCCCAGCCCUGAAUCGGGGGGGAUUCGUCCUCUACUGAAAUGUGGGGUUUGCCGUGGUCAGUCAGGCGUAAGGGUGAGCUUAAAGUCAUCUUGGAACAGUGAGCCAUAGCGGGUGAUAGCCCCGUAAGGUUUGCCCAAGCGUCGGACUGGUUGCGGUUAGAGUCGAGUUGUUUGGGAGUACAACUCUAAAGGGUGAUAAAUUUCAUCCAAGGCUAAAUAUUAACGCAAGACCGAUAGCGCACAAGUACCGCGAGGGAAAGAUGCAAAGAACUCUGAAAAGAGAGUUCAAAGUACAUGAAACCGCUAUAAGGGAAAGCGGUGGUUAGGACAUAUUCAUGCUGUUAGGGGUCUGUUUUUGGGGGUUCUGAGGCGCUUGUCGGGGCGUUGGCAACGGCGUUUCUGGCAGGCGUUUUUGGGAUUUCUAGGGGCGUAUUUCCUGGCAGUGUGUUCAUCGGGUGUUUGGCCAGUAUGGCUUUGAAGAGCCUGAAAGUCAGUCUUCGGGCUGAUGGAGGGUUUUAGAGGCCUAGUCAGACACAGGGUUACGCAAGUAACCGGGGCAGCGCUCAGCGCUCAUGAUUGCUGCCCUCGUCGAUGAUUUUAAGUGUCAUAACCACUGACCCGUCUUGAAACACGGACCAAGGAGUCUAUCAGGCAUGCGAGUUCGAGGGCGUAAAAAACUCUAGGGCGUAAUGAAAGUGACAGGUGUGAUAUCCGAAAGGAUUGCAACACCGACCGGUCCAGGCCAUUCGUGGUCAGGAUCGAGUUGUAGCAGGCCUAAUAGAACCCGAAAGGUGGCGAACUAUGCCUGUACAGGAAGAAGCCAGGAGAAAUCCUGGUGGAAGUCCGUAGCGGUAUUGACGUGCAAAUCAUUCGUCAGAUGCAGGUAUAGCGGCGAAAGACCAAUCGAGCCGCCUAGUAGCUGGUUCCCUC